CUUAGCUGAGACCACUCCCACAACAAAAUAACCACACUCACAACACUGUAUUUGGUAUUCUUUGUAAUUUUAAUUCCCAUAAUUUAAUUAGUUAAAUGCAACCAUUUUUUUUUCAUUUCACAAUUAUAUAUAUUUUUUUUACAAAUAAAACAUUACAGUACAGUUAUUAUGCAAAUCAGAAGAGCUUACUUUGUUAAGUCUUAGAUGGAGGGAGCCCAGGCUUUGUGGGGCCGGUUAUCAAACGGUUAAACAACGAAGCGCUAUAAAGACAACACCGAGUAGUUUGAGAACCUGCAGGCCAGCUAAGGUAAGGAGCACAUUCUACCACAGAAUAGACUAGAUAGAAAAUGAGGACACACUGUCUGCAUCCUCGGUAGAGACAUCUAGCGCUACCUAGUGGACAAAGUGAGGAAUGGAACCGUUUUCCUCAGGAGUAGCAGCAGUGCUAGCCUGGAAAUCCAAAAUUAAUUCAGCUCUGUUUCUUACAAUAUUGAAACGUAGUGAUUCCGGGCUAUAGCAAAAGCGCCACCGUGUGGGGACACCGUGCCAUUACAUCUAUCCACUCUGAAGAACAGUGCCUCUACAGAGCGAGACAGUGGCGCCGUCACACCACAAGAAACUGCUUUAUUUAUUAUUGCACAGAAUGUUCCCGCAGCGUGUCAAGAGGGCUCGGUUGUCUAUUACCAAGCAUCGGCAUCAAUAAACUGUCAAACUCUCCCCAUUGGCAACCAGCCCAGUCAUUGGUUGUUUUUGAUUGAUUGAUGAUCAGUAGCUAAUAUUAGUCAAAAUGGAGUCUCUCUCUCUACCUUGAGCGGUGCAUCCCUAACAGCCUAUCAGGACUGAGAAUGCAUUAAAAAAAAAAAAGAAUAAUGACCAGGUGAGUUCCAAAGGGGAUCACUCUAUGGAAGGAGAUGAAUGCCAAAACGCUGGCAGGAACGGGCCUCCAUAACAACUCACUGCUUGUCCAAGGACUAUGAGCUGCGAGCGGCAGUCAUCUCGCCUCGGACAUAAAGCCAUAUCAGAUCCUGUCCACCACUCUCCGACAGGUCGACCAAGCGGAUGUUUCGGGUUUUGAGGGAUACAGUAUUUUCAACCUGGGAACUCCCGCUCAGGCAUCUUUUUUUUUUUACGCCUACUACGUUGGGUUACCAGUCCACAGAGCUUUUUCUAAGAGCCUUGGCUCUGUCCUUAGUGAUACUGGUCUCAGGCCUGCGUUUAAACUUAUUGGCUAGACAUGGAUGAUAAAAGUGUAAUAUAAGCGUUCCGUUUCCUGCUAUAAAUAAGUAACCCCAGUCUGGCAGCUCAUCAAAGCGGUAUAGGGAAACAAAAUUACAAAGUUUUUUUUUUUUUUAAAUCUAAAAUAAAAAUGGUAAUUUAAAAGUCUGAUCUAUAUCGACAACCGACACAGUCUAACAUAAGGCGAGAGCGCGCUGGGUUAGAGCAGAUCGUGGCCAAUCACAAUGGAAUGGAGGAAAUCAUGACAUCAUAAUGACCACUUCCUGGUUACAAGCAAUGGCAUCACAGUCUCGUGACCGUGUGCCAGGUUCCCAGCGUGUUCCACCCUCCUCACAGCGUCGGGUGCGGUUCACUCGGUGGGUGGUGGGUGGGGGGGUUAAAAUAGAGAUGGUAGAAAAAUAUAUAGUCUUGAUGAAAUGUGUCUAUUUAUUCUCUUCAUUAUUGAAUUGCAGCCAUACGUGUAGUGUUAACACAGCAGUGUAGAGGGUUCAGGAUAACUAGCUCUACGACAAGAGAAGAACAACAUGAGGACAAUGACACGUCAUUAACACUCUCUCGUCUAGACACUUCAGGUUAUUUCGUCUUACAUUAUUCAUGGUUAACAAUAAUAAUAAUAGUUUUAGUCUUUUCAUUGGCAUCAUUAGGCAACACGUUUUUUUUGUCAUAUAUAUAUAUAUAUUUUUUAGUUACUCAACAAUAUCUUAGUUACGAUGUAAACUCCACAGUACUUAUAACUUACUGUAUCCAUCACACAGUAAAACAUAACAUUACAAGGCAAAUGGCCACUUAAGCAUUUGAUUGGUUCAUGAGACAAAACAGAGAAGAAAAAGAAACACACCACAAAGAAAAUGUCUGUUUGUUCAAAUUUGAAAAACAAAGCCAGGCUUCGUUCGUUUUUCUUCAUUUAAAAGUCAGGUGACCGUCAAAAAAACGCUGGUGAUGAUCAAAACUACUCCCCAAAACCUCGAUAUAAACCAUAGUUGGAUCGAGGGCUCACUUGCCACAAAGCUGGUUUUAGCAUGGGCAGAGACAUUGGUAUGUGCCCUCUGUUCAACUCUAUGAGCUACAGGUACCUCCAUAUUAGCCCUGAACCCUCCAUAUUAUCCCCUGAUAUUGUCCCUAUCCUCCCCAAUAACACUACUGAUAUCGUCCCAAUCACCCCCCUACCCAAUAACACUACCGAUAUCACCCCCCAAUAACACUA
ensembl:lncRNA